UUCUUAACAAACUUUCAUUAUAUUAUGUUAACAUUAACAAAGUAAUAGUAACAACUUACCACACUAUCACAAUUAACAUUACAUUAACAAACUUUCAUUCUAAUAAUAAAAUUAAACUUACAUUAAAUUAACUUUUGACAACAUUAUAGUUAACAUUAGACUCUAAAAAUGAUAUAUAUUUUAGGACCUACAUCACAUUAACCAACCAACACUUUCAUUCCAAAAAUGAUAACAUCACAUUAACAUUAUACUAACAUUAUACUCUAAAUUAUAUCACAACACCCCAGUAAUGUCAGACUUACAUUACAUUAAUCAACCAACAUUUUUGUGAUCAAUAAAAAGAUCACCCACAACAAAAUAAAAAAAACAUAAAAUCUUAAUCUUCUUCUUCAACUUAUCAUUUGUCUUCUUCACUAAAACAUCAUUCUUCUUCAAAUCAUUAACAUUCUUCAAAAGUGAAUUAAUCACUUAAUUUGAACAUUUUGUCAUCUUCUCAUUAAACCAGUCAAAAAUUGCACAUCUUUUCCUUCCUUAUAACAGAGUAUCACAAACAAGAAGGUAUAAUCAUCCUGAAGUUAGUGAUUGAGAAUAUGUAUAUCCAAAGUAAAAAUUAGGGAUUAAGAAAUACCUUGUAUAAUCCACAUCCAUAGAACCUACAACCUGGAUUUUGGGAUAUCCACGUAGUGAUAAGUGGUAAGCCCAACCUACAAUAACAUUGCAUCCUUCUCCUCAUAGAAUGAGAGAGGUUGCUUGAGAUACUCACUGAUUCGGAUGUCAUACGAAUGAGUUAUGAAGAAGAUGAAAAUGGAGAAGGCAAGGAAGCAAAGACAUGGAUGAAGUUAGAGACAAUGGAAAAAGUAAAGGCCGACAAGAACCCUAAACUAGAG
rnacentral:lncRNA from 1 species